ensembl:lncRNA
UAAAACAUGAACUUGGGCUCACAUCACUAACAGAGCCCUUUUCUUCAACCCCAUCUAUAUGAAAACAUAGCUACUGAUUCCAGGAGAACUCUACACCCGUAUGGAUGGUUCUAGGAAACCAGAAGUAAAACCUUGUAUCCAGCACCAGGAAUUCGGUUUCGUGGAUGUGCAGUAGUGUCAGAAAUAUCACAGCUGGAACCAAUGCUGUCUAGAAGCUCUGAUACAGGCCCAGCUGCUUGUGAUUCUACAGCACGCCCACAGGAACUCAAACAACAGGACGACUUGAGACGACAGAAGGAAGAAUGAAGAUUCUUCCAGAACUUUCUAAGAAGCUUCCACUGGAUGACAGUAAAUUUUCCUCUCCCAGCACAGUUUCUGACACGCUUACAACAGCUGGGAGCAGUGCUGACUCUGGGCAGCUCAUCUGAGUUCUCACUCCAAUCUGAAAUCUUUGCAAAGAAAUGCAAGCUCCUCCUCUGCAGAAGGAAGAAAAUCAGAUGAAAGAGCAGCACCUCCAGCUGAAGUGGAACUCUUCAGAAGACAAAGUCGUGGAUGGAGUGGGGAAAUCAGGCAGCAAACGCCCGGGCUCUGUUCUCCUGAGCUCUGCACCCAAACAAGCCCAGCACCUGGAGCAGCCCAUUCAAUUGGAUGGCUCCUCAGCAGGGAAAACCACCUCACAGUGCUGCCCCAUGGAUCACAGCCAUGUCUUAUUGCAAAGUCCUUAAUACUGUCAUACAGAAACCUAUUCUUUUUUUAACCAGCAGACAAUUACUGAUGUAGUACAAAAGUCAGUGGUUACUCUUCUGGGGAUCACUUCUCGCUGCAUAUACAAGAUAGGCAAAAAAAUAGAGUACCUUAUGCACUAAGUACAAAAUUAAACAUGCUUGUAAAUGCGCACACACGUGUAGACACGGUUGCCAUAUUUCCCUUUCAGUUGUCAGGAAAGACUACAAGUUCUUAAAAAACCCAUUUUGGCUAAUCAGGUCAGGCUACAUCAGGGCAGCCCAUUUCUGGAAUAACAGAUGCUCCUAAUUUGUCCUUCAACAUCAUGCCUAACAUUGUCACAAUUGGAUGCCAGAGUCCCUGCUUUGGAGCACCGCCUGUCAGAACUGAGAUGGCCAUGGAGGGAGCUCUGAGCCACUCUGCCAUUCGAAACAAUGGGAUCUAUUAAAAAGGAAAAACAAAAAUCAAGCCAGAAAUGGCUGACACGUGCUGAAGGGAGAGGGCAAAGCUGCAUGGACACUCAGUAAGAGUUGAAAUUGAGGCAGAAGAACAGAACCAAAAAUAGUUUGUUAGUGAAUCAGAAGCAUGGAAGGAGACAGUGAGCAAUGGAACAGCACAUGGAGAGGAUCUGUUGGAAAGUGAAUGCACACAUUAUCAUGUACAGAGAUCAGAAGUGAGACUGAAACAGAGCUAUUCCAGAACAAAUACUUCUUUGAAAAUCAAACAUUUUAAAGUUAUUUUCUUCAUACUGAAUCUACAUAACUGUUUUGUUGUUGCUGUUUUGUUUGCAUUUGUUCGAUGCAACUCUUACAUCAAAUAGGUUGUGAAUAGGAAUGUUGCAAACAAGAACACUGUAAUCAUAUGUUGGCAUACACUCAAGGAAUUCAUGUGCAAAAACAUUUUCACUGAAAUUCUGAAAGUUACGUUCAUCCAAUCCAAAAAGUAAAACAAAAUCACAUGUGGAAAGUGAAACAGCACGUUAUCUGAAGUUAAAAUACACUCUUGCCAAUUCCAGCUGUUCAAACAUAAUCAGUGAAAACCUUUGCUUUCCAUUUUUCUCACAGAGACUGGUAUUAGCAAUUAAAAGAACAGCCAUCAAAAUAGUAAGGCACAAACAAGCAUCUCACACCUUUCCCCACUCACUGUACCUGCUGGUUUAAUAGAGGGUAUUACCUCUCCUAACAGCACCGUGUGCAAGUAGGAGGAGAAAGAAUGAAUUAGGCUGAACAACCUGUUAGAAAGCUGAUCAUUUACAGGAGUUUAGCAACAGCUGGGGUGCAGUGACUGGAAAAUAAGUGAAGAUAUUAGGUGAGAUACCC